UCCCAAGCUGUGACCCUCCAAAGGGAAGCACUUUCUGUUUGUUGUCUGAGAGAAAACAAAGUGCUUCCUUUUAGAGUGUGACCGCUUGGGA
ensembl:miRNA